UUUUUUUUCCUCACACUUUUUUUCUUUCUCUUUUUUUCUGACUUCUUUUUCUUUCUUUUUUCUCUCUUUUUUUUCUCUAUCUUUUUUUCUCUCCCUCUUUCCAAGACAAACUAGAUAAGAUGCAGAUUGGAUCAAGCGAAGAUGUGAACGACCUCAACUAUGAUUGUGACAAUGAACUAUGGGUAGCACGUGGUGGAAUUUGAUGGAUGGUGUGGUGGACAGCGGAAGGGAUAACGAUGCAGCGGCGACGUGACUAAUGUGAACAGAACUCGAAACUCUAACGAACUAGACCCUAAGACCAGCAACUCGACACGACGAUGCAACCGAUAAUUCAAUAAUGCAAACAAUGAAUAGAAAAUUGCAAAGGCUCAGACUGGCUUGGACAAAAGGAUGAAUAGAUCUAACUUUUUUGUGGCUUUUUCUUGGACAAUAGGUAAGAAAAUAAAUCUAAUCUAGGGGAAGCUGGAAAUUCUCACCGAGCAACCUGAAAACUGAUACCACUUGAUAGAGGCGAGGGUGUCCCGAUCUUUCGAUGAGAUGAUAACUAUCGAUUUGGUGGAGUCGACUUUGACGAUCCGACUACAAACGUGCACGACGUUGCGCCUUAGCAAUCGCUAAACCAAUCUCCUGAGUUUACUGACGAUGCCGGAAGCACGAUCAGCCUGACCACGAAGGUCUAUUCCUGCAAGCAAUCAAAGAACGAGCAAGAAUAUGAUAAAGCAAUCUGAAUAUUGCGAAUAUAUAUGAAGUAUUGAUAAUGGUGGGGAUCCGUAAGCGGUCUUGGUCUGGUCGUUGGACACAAACGAAGUACACGAAGUUGCAAUGGCUAACUUUUAACUAAACAAAUCCCAAGGAAAAAGCUACUAGAUGGAUCUACUUAUAUAGGAGCAAGGGGUGGCGACCAAGGAGGUGGGAGGACGUCCCAAGGCAGCCUAAAACCAACCCUAGGUCGUACAAGGCUCAUGGGCCCAAGUGGAGGUGAUGCAACACCUUUGGACUUGUAGUUUGACUCGGAUUCUAGUGCAACGUCAGAUUGUUUCGACCAUAACUCAAUGCUCUGGACGAAUUUAAAGGUGAAUCCAAUUGGGUUGGAAAGACCACGAAAUCUAGUUUCCAACAAAAAAAGAAUCACCCAAUUCGGAGUCCGUAUGAAAAAGUUGUUGGCGUUUUGAGUCAGGUAUGUCUGUGCAGUCCGAAUCUGAAUCCAGAACGUGAGAGACUUGGACUCUAUCUUCUCUUGGCCCAAAAGUGACGUGAGAGGACUUUUUGAACAGAACCUAAACUUCUCCUUUGGCCUUAUAUUCAUAUGUGGAUUGUACAAAUGUCUCAUACACCUGCAAUUAGACAAAACACAAAAGUGUGUGAAGUAUUUUUGUUCUGGAUAACAUAAAUAGAUUAUUGAAUAGUUUGCACUAGAAAUCACCUGAUAAAUAUGCAUGUAUGCAAUAUUUUUGGUCGUAUCCAAGGUAGUCAUGUCCUCAUCAAUAGUUCCAUUAAGGGUUCCUUUCCCUGGGUGUGCAUGCAUUAGUAUACAUGUCCGAAUUGUGAUGUGAAAAUCACAGUGUGUAUAGUUUCUGGGGGUUCAUAAUGGAGUGAGUGCAAAAAACAUCUUUAAUUCACCGACCGAAUAUUCCCUUAAGAACACUAGCUUUCUGCUUCACCCAGUAUGAGGUACACAUCUGGAUGACCCGGCAGCAACAAUCGCAGAGGUGCUCCCUUUAUGCCCUAGCCGAACUAACGGGAACGUAGGGCCUAAGCACAGGAGCCAGGCAACCCAGCUUGGCCAAAACUUAAGUCAUAUCGAUACAUAUAGUGGCGAAGAAAAGGUACAUAUGGAAAAACUCAUAUGUGAAGAGCUUGAUGCUCAAGGAAUAAUAAUAAAAAGCUUCUGUCCAAGAAGCCCCCAGGUAUGAUGGACGUACAUAUUUAAAGAUGUAUGCGUCAGGGGUGUGCGGUCUAGCCGUACGAAAGUUUUAAAGCCAGAAAGAAAAAAGUAAUCCAAAAAGAGAGAAAGAAUAAUGGAAACUACAGGGGAGAAGGAGACGAACAAGGAGUUCGGCGCUAGGCAUAGAAUCUUCGGAGUCUGGCCGCGUUCCAGGGGUUCGGCUCGAGGCGAUUGUCUGAUGCAUCGCGAAGACGGUACGCCCCUCCGGUGAGAACUUCGUCAAUUAUGAAGGGACCCUCCCAUUUGGGCUUGAGUUUGUCCUUUUUCUUCUCCGGCAGGCGUAGAACGAGUUCGCCAAUGUUGUAGGUCUUGGCCCGUACUUCUCUGCUUUGAUAUCUUCGGGCCUGCUGGUGGUAAAAUGCUGAACGAGCUUUUGCGACAUCACGCUCCUCUUCCAGGGCAUCUAGGUUGUCCUGCCGAUGAAGCUCGGCUUCUCUCUCUUUGUACAUACGCACUUGAGGUGAGUCGUGGAUAAUAUCGCAGGGCAAUACAGCCUCCGCGCCAUACACCAUGAAGAAAGGUGUGUAUCCGGUAGUACGGUUGGGUGUGGUCCGCAGCCCCUAGAGUACGGAGUCGAGCUCCUCAACCCAGUGCUUGUCUGAUUCUCUCAAAGACCGCACUAGUCUGGGUUUGAUGCCGCUCAUAAUAAGACCAUUGGCUCGUUCGACUUGACCGUUGGUUUGCGGGUGGUAGACGGAGGCGUAAUCGAGUUUAAUGCCAAGAUUAGUACACCAGGUUUUUACCUCGUAGGCUGUGAAAUUAGAGCCGUUGUCGGUGAUGAUGCUGUGUGGGACACCAUAACGGUGCACAACACCGGAUAUGAAUUUUAUCACCGGGCCGGACUCAGCCGUUCUGACCGGUUUAGCCUCUAUCCACUUAGUGAAUUUGUCCACCAUGACCAACAGAUAUUUUUUCUUAUGGCUUCCCCCUUUAAGGGGUCCAACCAUGUCCAGUCCCCAGACCGCGAAAAGACAAGUAAUGGGGAUAGUUUGUAAGGCAGUUGGGGGCAUGUGGCUUUGGUUGGCGAAGAGUUGGCAUCCGACGCAGCGUUGGACAAGGUCCUGCGUGUCUGCUUGGGCUGCCGGCCAAUAAAACCCAGUACGGAAGGCUUUGCUAACAAGGGCCCGAGCUGUGGCGUGGUGUCCGCCGAGACCAGCGUGAAUUUCUGCUAAAAGCUGUCGCCCCUCUUCCUUGGAGAUACAUCUUUGAAGUAAUCCGGUAGUACUUUUCUUGUAGAGCUCUCCGUCGUGAACCUUGUAGGCUUUUGAACGCCGGACAAUGCGGCGAGCCUCAUUCUGUUCUUCGGGAAGCUCCAUCCUAUUUAUGUAGGCCAAGAAGGGUUCGGUCCAUGGGGCAAUGUCUGCCAUAAUGAGAUGGGCCGACGGUGUUAUUUCGGUGGUGAGCCCCCGAAGCUAUCGGUGUGUUCGGGAUUUGGGGUUGUAUUUGAAUCUGGACUGUUGUUGCCGCCCUCCCCUUCCCACACCACGGAUGGCUUGAAAAGCCUUCCGAGGAAAAUGUUGGGUGGAACGGGGUCGUGCUUGGCGCCGAUGCGAGCAAGGACGUCCGCUGCCUGAUUACUCUCCCGGGCGACGUGAUGAAAUUCGAGCCCCUCAAACUGAGCCGAUAUUUUAAGACGGCAUUACGCUAAGCUGCCAUCUAUGGAUCUUUGGCAUCAAAGUCUCCGUUUAUUUGAGAUAUUGCGAGGUUUGAAUCCCCGCGCACCUCUAGGCGUUGUAUGCCCAUGGAUACGGCCAUCCGAAGACCAUGCAAUAGGUCCUCGUAUUCGGCUGGGUUGUUGGAGUCUGUGUAUAGUAUUUGGAGUACAUACUGGACGACAUCAACCGUGGGGGAUGUUAACACGACUCCCGCUCCUAGCCCCACCAGCAUUUUGGAGCCGUCAAAAUACAUAACCCAAUUGGAAUAUGUGCCGUACUCUUUAGGGAGUUCGGCCUCCGUCCAUUCGGUGACGAAGUCAGCCAGUACUUGGGAUUUGAUGGCUCGACGUGGCUUGUAUGUUAUGUCAAAUGGAAGUAGCUCUAUGGCCCAUUUGGUGAUCCGUCUCGUGGCAUCGCGGUUGUUUAUUAUGUCAUUGAGUGGGACUUCAGAAGCCACCGUGAUUGAACACUCCUGAAAGUAGUGUCGUAGCAUUCGGGAUGCCAUGAAGACCGCGUAUGCUAUCUUUUGGUAAUGGGGGUAUCGGGAUUUGCAUGGUGUGAGGACAGUAGAUAGAUAGUAUACUGGUUUUUGAAGUGGGAAUUUGUGUCCGUCCUGUUCUCGUUCGACGACGAGCACGGCACUCACCACCUGAUGUGUUGCCGAUAUGUAUAGCAACAUGGGUUCGCCAGCGUUUGGUGCGGCCAGAAUUGGGUUGCUUGCUAUGAGGUCCUUUAUUUCCUCCAGUCCGGUAGUCGUCGCGUGUGUCCAUUCGAAGUUAUCGGUGCGUCGUAAGAGGCGAUAGAGUGGCAGUGCCUUUUCUCCUAAUCUGGAGAUAAAGUGACUUAACGCUGCCAUGCAACCAGCUAGUUUUUGGACUUGUUUGAGGUCUGUUGGCGUAGCCAACUGUGACAGAGCUCGGAUUUUUGCUGGAUUUGCUUCUAUUCCUCUAUUGGAAACGAUGAAGCCCAGUAGUUUUCCAGCGGGGACGCCGAAGACACACUUUUCCGGGUUGAGUUUAAUGUCAUACGCACGGAGGUUGUCGAAUGUAAGAUGUAAGUCGUCUAUUAGUGUUUCGACGUGCCUAGUUUUGAUGACGACGUCAUCGAUGUAAGCUUCUACUGUCUUGCCGAUCUGCUUCUCCAGGCAUGUUUGAAUCAUGCGUUGGUAUGUGGCGCCGGCAUUCUUGAGCCCGAAAAGCAUUGUGUUGAAGCAGAAUGGCCCAUAUGGGGUAAUAAAUGUUGUUGCAGCUUGAUCGAACUCCUUCAUUUUGAUUUGAUGGUAUCCGGAAUAUGCAUCGAGGAAACACAGUGAGUUGUGUCCUGUGGUGGCGUCAAUCAUUUGAUCAAUGCGGGGGAGGGGAAGGGAUCCUUAGGGCAAGCCUUGUUGAGGUCUUUGAAAUCGACACACAGGCGCCAGGAUUUGUCCUUCUUUGGUACCAUCACCAGGUUUGCCAACCAGUCCGGAUGUUUGAUUUCUCUAAUGAAUCCGGCUUCGAUAAGCUUGGCCAGCUCCUCCCCCAUGGCUUGUCGCUUGGGUUCGGAAAAGCGCCGCAGUGUUUGCUUGACCGGUUUAAAUCCCUUUAAUACAUUGAGGCUAUGUUUGGCCAGCUUGCGUGGGAUCCCUGGCAUAUCUGAAGGGUGCCAGGCAAAUAUGUCCCAGUUUUCGCGCAGGAAUUCUCGUAGUGCGGCGUCAACUGUUGGGUUCAGUUGCGCUCCGAUAGAUCCUGUCUUCUUGGGGUCUGUUGGGUGGACCUGGAAUUUGACUAUUUCUUCUGCUGGUUUGAAUGAGGUGGAUUUGGGGCGUUUGUCGAGGAUCACAUCGUCCCUGUCCACCGUGGAGCGUAGUGCGGUUAAUUCUUUGGCCGCGAGGGCUUCGGAUAGCGCCUCAAGGGCCAGGGAUGCGGUUUUGUUUUCAGCGCGGAGUGCUAUGUCCGGAUCACUGACGAGAGUGAUUAUACUGUUUUGUCCGGGCAUUUUGAGCUUCAUAUACCCGUAAUGAGGUAUAGAUUGGAAGCGUGUAAAAGCAUCCCGCCCCAACAGGGCGUGGUAUCCGCUGCUGACAAGGGCCACUUGGAAAGUGAUUUCUUCGAACCGAUAAUUCUCCGGCUUGCCGAAUACCACGUCAAGUGUGAUUUUUCCCGCGCAUCGCGCCUCUCAACUGGGAAUGUUUCCUCGGAAGGUUGUGCUACUUGUCUUGAUGCAGCUCCUGUCUAUUUCCAUUUUAUGGAGUGUGUCCUCAUAAAUGAGGUUUAGUCCGCUGCCGCCGUCCAUGAGGACCUUGGUAAGUCGAAACCCGUCCACGACGGGAUUGAGGACUAAUGCGGCUAGCACUCGGACUGUCCUGUACUUCGGUUCGUCACCGGCAUUAAAUGUUAUAGUCGUGUCGUUCCAAGGGUUUAUUGCAGCGAUUUGGCAGACUUCGGCGAGGUCGCGAAGUGCCCUUUUGCGCUUGUUGUUUGAAGCGAAUGUCUGGAAGACCAUCAAUACUCUUGUGUCGUUGUUUUCUUGAGGGUGCUGUUCUGGGGUGUCCUUGAUAAGGAUGUCCUCGCCGCUCUUGGCUACCUGCCGGGUAUCCAACAAGCUCUAAAGCUGUGGGUUGCCACGGUAUCUGGUGUUGUGUGUAUUUUGCAUGGGCCAUCGAGCCAUCCCUCCAGAACGGUGUCGUGCCGCGUAAUAGGUUUAUGUUUCUUGACUGUUGGACUGGGCAUGCCGCGGGGGUGCGUCCUCUUCGCCCGUAGGAGGAGUUGAGUUGGGGCCGACGGUUCCCAGCAAGCUGCCUGAGUUUUCCAGGCGCUUUCCAUCGCGAUGUACUUCUGUAUGAUAGUUGCUAAGUCAGUGAACUUCAGUAUGCGGUGGUGAUUGAUGGCGUUGAGGAUUCCUUCGUCCGCUCAAUUGUUGCAGAACGCUGAUAUCGCGUCCUCGUCGCGACAAUCUUUUGCCCUGUUUUCGACAAGGAGGAAUCUGGCCCAGAAGUGGUGGACCGUUUCCUGAGACUGUUGUUUUAUGUUCAUGAGAGCAUCUAUGUCCGGGUGGGUGGGUGGAAUUAAAUCCGAACCCUGACCUGACCGAUUAUCCGGAGUCUGAAGACCUUCCAGACUCAAUAGUCUGGGCUCCGGAGUAUCUUAUGAUUGUUUAGGACUGCCGUCCGAUUCUAUGUUCGGAGGGCUGGUCGCAUCUUUUCGCUAGUGGGCAUCCGGUUCUUCCUGAUCGGCGAUCCGAACUUAGUCCGUCUUCGAUAUAGACGAAGACUCGCCAUCCUGCUCCUCGACUACCACUGUCUGGUGGGUGACCGGUGGAGUUUUGAUUUCUCCUUGAUCGGUUUUAGGCCCGAUCCGAUCAUAAUCUAUGGCGAUUCCCAAAGCGGCGAUGCGAUCUAGGAGCUCGUUCAAGGACAAAAACUCUGCCAGAUCCAUCUGCUUGGAGUGUUCGGACUUGAUGCGAAGGGGGUUUUCGAUGGCCCGGUAGGUCAUCAUCGGCUCAAUGGCCGAAUGAUACGUCUCCGUCGUAUCUAUAAUUUUUGAUUGUUCCAUGCCAAUAUUCUACAACUUUCAUAUACUUUUGGCAACUUUUUAUAUUAUUUUUGGGACUAACAUAUUGAUCCAGUGCCAGUUCCUGUCUGUUGCAUGUUUUAUGUUUCGCAGAAACCCCAUAUCAAACGGAAUCCAAACGGGAUAAAAACGGGUGGAGAAUUAUUUUGGAAUAUUUGUGAUUUUUGGGAAGUAAAAUCAACGCGAGACAGUGCCCGAGGUGGCCACGAGGGUGGGGCCCACGCCCACUCCAGGCAGGCGCGCCCCUGACCCUCGUGGGCCACCCGUAAGGCGGUUGAUGCCCUUCUUCGGCCGCAAGAAAGCUAAUUUUUGGAAAAAGAUCUGGGCGAAGGUUUCAAUCCAAUCGAAGUUACGGAUCUCCAUAUAUACACGAAACGGUGAAAGGGCAGCAGAGGAGAGUGCAGAAACAGAGAGAGACAGAGAGACAGAUCCAAUCUCGGAGGGGCUCUCGCCCCUCCCACGCCAUGGAGGCCAAGGACCAGAGGGGAAACCCUUCUCCCAUCUAGGGAGGAGGUCAAGGAAGAAGAAGACGAAGGGGCCCCCUUUCCCCUUCUCUUCCGGUGGCGCCGGAACGCCACCGUGGCCAUCAUCAUCACCGCAAUCUUCACCAACAACUUCACCUCCAUCAUCACCAACUCUUCCCCCCUCUAUGCAGCGGUGUAACCUCUCUCUUACUCGCUGUAAUCUCUACUUAAACAUGGUGCUCAACGCUAUAUAUUAUUUCCCAAUGAUGUAUGGCUAUCCUAAAACGUGUGCCAACCCCUAUGCGUUCAUGGGCGGAACCCGCAAGUUGGUCACCAAAACAUACAUCAAGUGAAUCAAUAGAAUAACCCAUUGUCACCACGGUUAUCCCACGCAAGACAUACAUCAAGUGUUCUCAAAUCCUUAAAGACUCAAUCCGAUAAGAUUACUUCAAAGGGAAAACUCAAUCCAUUACAAGAGGGUAGAGGGGGGAGAAACAUCAUAAGAUCCAACUAUAAUAGCAAAGCUCGCGAUACAUCAAGAUCGUGCCAAAUCAAGAACACGAGAGAGAGAGAUCAAACACAUAGCUAUUGGUACAUACCCUCAGCCCCAAGGGUGAACUACUCCCUCCUCGUCAUGGAGAGCGCCGGGAUGAUGAAGAUGGCCACCGGUGAGGGAUCCCCCCUCUGGCAGGGUGCCGGAACAGGGUCCCGAUUGGUUUUUGGUGGCUACAGAGGCUUGCGGCGGCGGAACUCCCGAUCUCUUCUGUUCCCCAAAGGUUUUAGGGUAUAUGGAUAUAUAUAUAGGCUGAAGAAAUACGUCAGGGGAGCCACGAGGGUGGAGGGCGCGCCCAGGGGGGUGGGCGCGCCCCCUGCCUUGUGCCUUCCUCGUUGCUUUCUUGACGUGGACUCCAAGUCCCCCGGAUUGCUUUCUUUCCAAAAAUAACUUCUCCAGAAGAUUUCAUUCCGUUUCGACUCCGUUUGAUAUUCCUUUUCUUCGAAACACUGAAACAAGGGAAAAAACAGGAACUGGCACUGGGCUCUGGGUUAAUAGGUUAGUCCCAAAAAUAAUAUAAAAGUGUUUAAUAAAGCCUAUAAACAUCCAAAACAGAUAAUAUAAUAGCAUGGAACAAUCAAAAAUUAUAGAUACGUUGGAGACGUAUCAGCAUCCCCAAGCUUAAUUCCUGCUCGUCCUCGAGUAGGUAAAUGAUAAAAACAAAAUUUUUGAUGUGGAAUGCUACUUGGCAUACUUUCAAUGUAAUUUUUCUUAAUUGUGGUAUGAAUAUUCAGAUCCGAAAGAUUCAAGAUAAAAGUUCAUAUUGACAUAAAAGUAAGAAUACUUCAAGCAUACUAACUAAGCAAUUAUGUCCUCUCAAAAUAACAUGGCCAAAGAAAGUUCAUCCCUACAAAAUCAUAUAGUUUAGUCAUGCUCCAUUUUCGUCACACAAGAAUGCUCUCAUCAUGCACAACCCCGAUGACAAGCCAAGCAAUUGUUUCAUACUUUAGUAAUCUCAAACUUUUUCAACCUUCACGCAAUACAUGAGCGUGAGCCAUGAAUAUAGCACUAUGGGUGGAAUAGAAUAUGAUGAUGGGGUUAUGUAGAGAAGACAAAAAAGGAGAAAGUCUCACAUCAACGAGGCUAAUCAAUGAGCUAUGGAGAUGCCCAUCGAUUGAUGUUAAUCCAAGGAGUAGGGAUUGCCAUGCAACGGAUGCACUAGAGCUAUAAAUAUAUGAAAGCUCAACAAAAGAAACUAAGUGGGUGUGCAUCCAACUUGCUUGCUCACGAAGACCUAGGGCACUUGAGGAGGCCCAUUGUUGGAAUAUACAAGCCAAGUUCUAUAAUGAAAAAUUCCCACUAGUAUAUGAAAGUGACAAAACAAGAGACUCUCUAUCAUGAAGAUUAUGGUGCUACUUUGAAGCACAAGCAUGGUAAAAGGAUAGUAACAUUGUCCCUUCUCUCUUUUUCUCUCAUUUUUUUGGGCCUUCUCUUUUUUUAUGGCCUUUCUCUUUUUUAUUUUAUUUUUUUACCUCACUUGGUACAAUGCUCUAGAAAAUGAUGAUCAUCACACUUCUAUUUAUUUACAACUCAAUGAUUACAACUCGAUACUAGAACAAAGUAUGACUCUAUAUGAAUGCCUCCGGCGGUGUACCGGGAUAUGCAAUGAACCAAGAGUGACAUGUAUGAAAGAAUUAUGAACGGUGGCUUUGCCACAAAUACUAUGUCAACUACAUGAUCAUGCAAAGCAAUAUGCCAAUGAUGAACAUGUCAUGAUAAACGGAACGGUGGAAAGUUGCAUGGCAAUAUAUCUCGGAAUGGCUAUGGAAAAGCCAUAAUAGGUAGGUAUGGUGGCUGUUUUGAGGAAGAUAUAAGGAGGUUUAUGUGUGAAAGAGCGUAUCAUAUCACGGGGUUUGGAUGCACCGGCGAAGUUUGCACCAACUCUCAAUGUGAGAAAGGGCAAUGCACGGUACCGAAGAGGCUAGCAAUGAUGGAAGGGUAAGAGUGCGUAUAAUCCAUGGACUCAACAUUAGUCAUAAAGAACUCACAUACUUACUGCAAAAAUCUAUAAGUCAUCAAAAACCAAGCACUACGCGCAUGCUCCUAGGGGAAUAGAUUGGUAGGAAAAGACCAUCACUCGUCCCCAACCGGCACUCAUAAGGAGGACAAUCAAAGAACACCUCAUGUUUCAAAUUUGUUACAUAACGUUUACCAUACGUGCAUGCUACGGGACUUGCAAACUUCAACACAAGUAUUUCUCAAAUUCACAACUACUCAACUAGCACAACUUUAAUAUCACUACCUCCAUAUCUCAAAACAAUCAUCAAGCAUCAAACUUCUCUUAGUAUUCAACACACUCAUAAGAAAGUUUUUACUAGUCUUGAAUACCUAACAUAUUAGGAUUAAGCAAAUUACCAUGCUGUUUAAGACUCUCAAAAUAAUAUAAGUGAAGCAUGAUAGUUCAUCUAUUUCUUCAAAAUAAAACCACCAUUGUGCUCUAAAAGGAUAUAAGUGAAGCACUAGAGCAAAUGACAAACUACUCCGAAAGAUAUAAGUUAAGAUCAAUGAGUAGUCGAAUAAUUAUGCAACUAUGUGAAGACUCUCUAACAUUUAAGAAUCUCAGAUCUUGGUAUAUUAUUCAAACAACAAGCAAAGCUAAAGAAAAUAAAAUGACAUGACGCUCCAAGCAAAACACAUAUCAUGUGGUGAAUAAAAAUAUAGCUCCAAGUAAAGUUACCGAUGAACGGAGACGAAAGAGGGGAUGCCAUCCGGGGCAUACCCAAGCUUAGGCUCUUGGUUAUCCUUGAAUAUUACCUUGGGAUGCCUUGGGCAUCCCCAAGCUUAGGCUCUUGCCACUCCUUAUUCCAUAGUCCAUCGAAAUCCUUACCCAAAACUUGAAAACUUCACAACACAAAACUCAACAGAAAACUCGUAAGCUCCGUUAGCGAAAGAAAAGCAAAACACCACUUCAAGGUACUGUAAUGAACUCAUUCUUUAUUUAUACUGGUGUUAAACCUACUAUAUUCCAACUUCUCUAUGGUUUAUAAACUAUUUUACUAGCCAUAGAGUCAUCAAAAUAAGCAAACAACACACGAAAAACAGAAUCUGUCAAAAACAGAACAAUCUGUAGUAAUCUGUAUCAAACGUAUACUUCUGGAACUCCAACAAUUCUAAAAUAAAUUGGUGUACCCGAGGAGUUUGUCUAGUAAUCAUAUGCAAAAAGAAUCAACGAAAUAGCACCCUCAAGUAAAAAGUUGAAGCUAAUCUCGUGAGCGCUAAAGUUUCUGUUUUUUACAGCAUGAUCAUAAAGACUUCACCCAAGUCUUCCCAAAGGUUCUACUUGGCACAAACACUAAUUAAAACAUAAAACCACAUCUAACCAGAGGCUGAAUGGAUUAUUUAUUACUAAACAGAACCAAAAAUAAAGAAACUAAAAUAAAAUUGGGUUGCCUCCCAACAAGCGCUAACGUUUAACGCCCCUAGCUAGGCAUGAUGAUUUCAAUGAUGCUCACAUAAAAGAUAAGAAUUGAAACAUAAAGAGAGCAUCAUGAAGAAUAUGACUAGCACAUUUAAGUCUAACCCACUUCCUAUGCAUAGGGAUUUUGUGAGCAAACAACUUAUGGGAACAAUAAUCAACUAGCAUAGGAAGGUAAAACAAGCAUAACUUCAAGAUUUUAAGCACAUAGACAGGAAACUUGAUAUUAUUGCAAUUCCUACAAGCAUACAUUCCUCCCUCAUAAUAACUUUCAGUAGCAUCAUGAAUGAAUUCAACAAUAUAACCAGCACCUAAAGCAUCAAUAGUAGUGGGAGCAAACUCAACAAAAUAGCUAUCAUAUGAUUGAAAAUUAAGAUCGAGAUGACAAGUUUCAUGGUUAUCAUUAUUCUUUAUAGCAUACGUGUCAUCACAAUAAUCAUCACAGAUAGGAGGCAUGUUUUCAUCAUAGUAAAUUUGCUCAUCAAAGCUUGGGGGACAAAAAAUAUCAUCUUCAUCAGACAUAGCUUCCCCAAGCUUGUGGCUUUGCAUAUCAUUAGCAUCAUGGAUAUUCAAGGAAUUCAUACUAACAACAUUGCAAUCAUGCUCAUCAUUCACAUAUUUUAUGCCAAGCAUUCUAUGUAAUUCUUCUUCUAGUACUUGAGCACAAUUUUCCUUCCCAUCAUUUUCACGAAAGACAUUAAAAAGAUGAAGCAUUUGAGGCACCCUUAAUUCCAUUUUUUGUAGUUUUCCUUUAUAAACUAAACUAGUGAUAAAACAAGAAACAAAAAGAUUCGAUUGCAAGAUCUAAAGAUAUACCUUCAAGCACUCACCUCCCCGGCAACGGCGCGAGAAAAGAGCUUAGUUGACGGGGUGUGAGUGCCACUUACCUAGCCUCCCCGGCAACGGCGCCAGAAAAGAGAUGUCUACUACACAACCUUCUUCUUGUAGACGUUGUUGGGCCUCCAAGUGCAGAGGUUUGUAGGACAGUAGCAAAUUUCCCUCAAGUGGAUGACCUAAGGUUUAUCAAUCCGUGGGAGGCGUAGGAUGAAGAUGGUCUCUCUCAAGCAACCCUGCAACCAAAUAACAAAGAGUCUCUUGUGUCCCCAACACACCCAAUACAAUGAUAAAUUGUAUAGGUGCACUAGUUCGGUGAAGAGAUGGUGAUACAAGUGCAAUAUGGAUAGUAGAUAUAGGUUUUUGUAAUCUGAAAAUAUAAAAACAGCAAGGUAACUAAUGAUAAAAGUGAGCACAAACGGUAUUGCAAUGCUAGGAAACAAGGCCUAGGGUUCAUACUUUCACUAGUGCAAGUUCUCUCAACAAUAAUAACAUAAUUGGAUCAUAAAACUAUCCCUCAACAUGCAACAAAGAGUCACUCCAAAGUCACUAAUAGCGGAGAACAAACGAAGAGAUUAUGGUAGGGUACGAAACCACCUCAAAGUUAUUCUUUCCGAUCAAUCCAUUGGGCUAUUCCUCUAAGUGUCACAAACAGCCCUAGAGUUCAUAGUAAAAUAACACCUUAAGACACACAUCAACAAAACCCUAAUGUCACCUAGAUACUCCAAUGUCGCCUCAAGUAUCCGUGGGUAUGAUUAUACGAUAUGCAUCACACAAUAUCAGAUUCAUCUAUUCAACCAACACAUAGAACCUCAAAGAGUGCCCCAAAGUUUCUACCGGAGAGUCAAGAUGAAAACUUGUGCCAACCCCUAUGCAUAGGUUCAUGGGCGGAACCCGCAAGUUGGUCACCAAAACAUACAUCAAGUGAAUCAAUAGAAUAACCCAUUGUCACCACGGUUAUCCCACGCAAGACAUACAUCAAGUGUUCUCAAAUCCUUAAAGACUCAAUCAAAUAAGAUUACUUCAAAGGGAAAACUCAAUCCAUUACAAGAGGGUAGAGGGGGGAGAAACAUCAUAAGAUCCAACUAUAAUAGCAAAGCUCGCGAUACAUCAAGAUCGUGCCAAAUCAAGAACACGAGAAAGAGAGAUCAAACACAUAGCUACUGGUACAUACCCUCAGCCCCGAGGGUGAACUACUCCCUCCUCGUCAUGGAGAGCGCCGGGAUGAUGAAGAUGGCCACCGGUGAGGGAUCCCCCUCCGACAGGGUGCCGGAACAGGGUCCCGAUUGGUUUUUGGUGGUUACAGAGGCUUGCGGCGGCGGAACUCCCGAUCUCUUCUGUUCCCCAAAGGUUUUAGGGUAUAUGGAUAUAUAUAGGCGGAAGAAAUACGUCAGGGGAGCCACGAGGGCCCCACGAGGGUGGAGGGCGCGCCCAGGGGGGUGGGCGCGCCCCCCUGCCUCGUGCCUUCCUCGUUGUUUUCUUGACGUGGAUUCCCAGUCCCGCGGAUUGCUUUCUUUCCAAAAAUAACUUCUCCAGAAGAUUUCAUUCCGUUUCGACUCCGUUUGAUAUUCCUUUUCUUCGAAACACUGAAACAAGGGAAAAAACAAGAACUGGCACUGGGCUCUGGGUUAAUAGGUUAGUCCCAAAAAUAAUAUAAAAGUGUUUAAUAAAGCCCAUAAACAUCCAAAACAGAUAAUAUAAUAGCAUCGAACAAUCAAAAAUUAUAGAUAUGACGGAGACGUAUCAGCUGAUACGUCUCCGUCAUAUCUAUAAUUUUUGAUUGUUCCAUGCCAAUAUUCUACAACUUUCAUAUACUUUUGGCAACUUUUUAUAUUAUUUUUGGGACUAACAUAUUGAUCCAGUGCCCAGUGCCAGUUCCUGUCUGUUGCAUGUUUUAUGUUUCGCAGAAACCCCAUAUCAAACGGAAUCCAAACGGGAUAAAAACGGACGGAGAAUUAUUUUGGAAUAUUUGUGAUUUUUGGGAAGUAAAAUCAACGCGAGACGGUUCCCGAGGUGGCCACGAGGGUGGGGCCCACGCCCACUCUAGGCAGGCGCGCCCCUGACCCUCGUGGGCCACUCGUAAGGCGGUUGAUGCCCUUCUAUGGUCGCAAGAAAGCUAAUUUUUUGGAAAAAAGAUCUGGGCGAAGGUUUCAAUCCAAUCGGAGUUACGGAUCUCCGUAUAUACACGAAACGGUGAAAGGGCAGCAGAGGAGAGCGCAGAAACAGAGAGAGACAGAGAGACAGGUCCAAUCUCGGAGGGCUCUCGCCCCUCCCACGCCAUGGAGGCCAAGGACCAGAGGGGAAACCCUUCUCCCAUCUAGGGAGGAGGUCAAGGAAUAAGAAGACGAAGGGGCCCCCUUUCCCCUUCUCUUCCGGUGGCGCCGGAACGCCGCCGUGGCCAUCAUCAUCACCGCAAUCUUCACCAACAACUUCACCGCCAUCAUCACCAACUCUUCCCCCCUCUAUGCAGCGGUGCAACCUCUCUCUUACCCGCUGUAAUCUCUACUUAAACAUGGUGCUCAACGCUAUAUAUUAUUUCCCAAUGAUGUAUGGCUAUCCUAUGAUGUUUGAGUAGAUCCGUUUUGUCCUAUGGGCUAUUUGAUGAUCAAGAUUAGUUUGAGUUGCAUGUUUUAUUAUUGGUGCUGCCCUAUGGUGCUCUCCGUGUCGCACAAGCGUGAGGGAUCCCCGCUGUAGGGUUUGCAAUAUGUUCAUGAUUUGCUUAUGGUGGGUGGCGUGAGUGACAGAAGCACAGACCCGAGUAAGUAGGUUGUUUGCGUAUGGGAUAAAGAGGAGUUGAUACUUUAAUGCUAUGUUUGGGUUUUACCUUAAUGAUCUUUAGUAGUUGCGGAUGCUUGCUAGAGUUCCAAUCAUAAGUGCAUAUGAUCCAAGUAGAGAAAGUAUGUUAGCUUAUGCCUCUCCCUCAAAUAAAAUUGCAAUAAUGAUUACCGGUCUAGUUAUCGAUUGCCUAGGGACAAAUAACUUUCUCGUAACAAAAAGCUCUUUACUAAAACUAAUUUAGUUGUGUCUUCAUCUAAACAGCCCCUAGCUUUUAUUUAUGCGCUCUUUAUUUUCUUGCAAGCCUAUCCAAAAUGAUAGAGGCAAAGGUGUCCCGUCUUUCGAUGAGAUGAUGAAUAUCGCUUUGAUGGAAGUCGACUUUGACGAUCCGACUACGAACGUGCGAGGACGUCGCGCCUUAGCAAUCGCUAAACCAACUCCGAGAGGUUAUCGACCACGCCGGAGCACGAUCAACCUGACCACGAGGGUCUGUUUCCUGCGAGCAAACGAAGAACAAGCAAGAAACUGAGAUUGCAAUCUGGAUAUUGCGAAUAUAAGAUGAAAGCUUUAUUGAUCAAGGUGGAGUUAUGUGACGCCUUUGUCUGGUUGCUGAACACAAACGAAGUACGCGAAGUUGCAGCUAUGGCGAACUUUUAAUCUAAACAAAACCCAAAGUCUAAACGACGCCCUAAGGGCUGUAUAUAUGGAGGAAGAGGGGGGGGGAUUUCGUGGCCCUUGAGGAAGGGGUCCGAAACCAACCCUAUCUCUUGUUUCCCCACACAUACGCACUCUAAAAACAGCCUAUACUUAUGUAUUUCGAAAUUACAUGGGCCUGGCCCAAUAAUAAGGUGACGCAGCACCUAGAAUAGCCUCUGGACGAAAGUUAUGAAGUAGCAUCUUGUAUAUUUCGUCCAAGGCUUCAUGCACGCAUUAUGGUGGCUUCAACGUCCUGAAAUCAUCACUUGUAACUCCGUUCUUGUUCCCCAUGCGCAUGCCAUCAUCUCCAUGCUUGUUCUUGCUCCAAUGUUCAUCCUUCUCAAAGCUAGGCCCUUCAUUUGUAAGCAAAACAAAUGUAUCCAAUUUAGGCAGCAUCAUAUUCUCAUGAACAUUAGAAUCAUUACCAAGAAACAAAAGUACCUGGUAAUUUAAUUGGCGUGCGCGAGCUCUAGUAAUUGGUCCAGUAUGUAUAGCAGCAGGCCUGUGGGUGUAACAAUGGUAUUGAUGUCCUCAUCAUCCUCCCCUUCUAGAAAUGAAGUCGUCCUCGACGGAAGCUCAUCUUCCUCACCCAAAUAAGGCUUCAAAUCUGCAAUGUUAAAAGUGGGACUAACCCCAAAAUCUGCAGGCAGCUCAAGUUUAUAUGCAUUAUCAUUUAUUUUCUCUAACACCUUAAAAGGACCAUCAGCACGUGGCAUUAGCUUUGAUUGCGCAAAUCAGGAAAUCUAUCCUUACGCAAAGGUAACCAAACAAGAUCUCCAGGUGCAAACACAACAUGUUUUCUACCCUUAUCUCCAGCAAGUUUAUAUUUAGCAUUCAUACGCUCAAUGUUUUCCUUAGUUAACUCAUGCAUUUUUAAGAUCAAUUCAGCACGUUGUUUAGCAUCAAAAUUAACCUUCUCCGAAGAUGGAAGAGGCAACAAAUCAAUAGGUGCACGAGGUAGGAAACCAUACACAAUUUCAAAAGGGCACAUCUUAGUAGUAGAAUGCAAUGAACGAUUAUAAGCAAACUCAAUAUGAGGCAAGCAUUCUUCCCACAUUUUCUUAUUAUUCUUCAAAACAGCCCUAGGCAUUGUAGACAGUGUUCUAUUGACUACUUCAGUUUGUCCAUCAGUUUGGGGGUGACAAGUAGUACUAAAAAGCAGUUUAGUCCCCAACUUAGCCCAUAAACAUCUCCAAAAGUGGCUAAGAAAUUUAGUAUCACGAUCUGAAACAAUAGUAUUUGGCACACCAUGCAAGCGAAUAAUUUCACGAAAGAACAAAUCGGCAACAUUAACAGCAUCAUCGCUUUUAUGACAUGGUAUAAAGUGUGCCAUUUUCGAGAAUCUAUCCACGACAACAAAUAUGCUAUCCCUCCCCUUCUUUGUUCGAGGUAAACCUAAAACAAAGUCCAUAGAUAUAUCCUCCCAAGGAACACUAGGUACAGGCAAAGGCAUAUAUAAACCAUGAGGAUUGAGUCGUGACUUAGCUUUUUGGGAUGUAGUGCAGCGAGCAACAAAACGCUCAACAUCCCGUCUCAUCUUUGGCCAAAAGAAAUGUGUAGCAAGUACGUGAUAGAGGCAAAGGUGUCCCGUCUUUCGAUGAGAUGAUGGAUAUCGCUUUGGUGGAAGUCGACUUUGACGAUCCGACUACGAACGUGCGAGGACGUCGCGCCUUAGCAAUCGCUAAACCAACUCCGAGAGGUUAUCGACCACGCCGGAGCACGAUCAACCUGACCACGAGGGUCUGUUUCCUGCGAGCAAACGAAGAACAAGCAAGAAACUGAGAUUGCAAUCUGGAUAUUGCGAAUAUAAGAUGAAAGCUUUAUUGGUCAAGGUGGAGUUCUGUGACGCCUUUGUCUGGUUGCUGAACACAAACAAAGUACACGAAGUUGCAGCUAUGGCGAACUUUUAAUCUAAACAAAACCCAAAGUCUAAACGACGCCCUAAGGGCUGUAUAUAUGGAGGAAGAGCAGGGAAUUUCGUGGCCCUUGAGGAAGGGGUCCGAAACCAACCCUAUCUCUUGUUUCCCCACACAUACGGACUCUAAAAACAGCCUAUACUUAUGUAUUUCGAAAUUACAUGGGCCUGGCCCAAUAAUAAGGUGACGCAGCACCUAGAAUAGCCUCUGGACGAAAGUUAUGAAGUAGCAUCUUGUAUAUUUCGUCCAAGGCUUCAUGCACGCAUUAUGGUGGCUUCAACGUCCUGAAAUCAUCACUUGUAACUCCGUUCUUGUUCCCCAUGCGCAUGCCAUCAUCUCCAUGCUUGUUCUUGCUCCAAUGUUCAUCCUUCUCAAAGCUAGGCCCUUCAUUUGUAAGCAAAACAAAUGUAUCCAAUUUAGGCAGCAUCAUAUUCUCAUGAGCAUUAGAAUCAUUACCAAGAAACGAAAGUACCUGGUAAUUUAAUUGGCGUGCGCGAGCUCUAGUAAUUGGUCCAGUAUGUAUAGCAGCAGGGGCUGUGGGUGUAACCAUGGUAUUGAUGUCCUCAUCAUCCUCCCCUUCUUGAAAUGAAGUCGUCCUCGACGGAAGCUCAUCUUCCUCACCCAAAUAAGGCUUCAAAUCUGCAAUGUUAAAAGUGGGACUAACCCCAAAAUCUGCAGGCAGCUCAAGUUUAUAUGCAUUAUCAUUUAUUUUCUCUAACACCUUAAAAGGACCAUCAGCACGUGGCAUUAGCUUUGAUUUGCGCAAAUCAGGAAAUCUAUCCUUACGCAAAUGUAACCAAACAAGAUCUCCAGGUGCAAACACAACAUGUUUUCUACCCUUAUCUCCAGCAAGUUUAUAUUUAGCAUUCAUACGCUCAAUGUUUUCCUUAGUUAACUCAUGCAUUUUUAAGAUCAAUUCAGCACGUUGUUUAGCAUCAAAAUUAACCUUCUCCGAAGAUGGAAGAGGCAACAAAUCAAUAGGUGCACGAGGUAGGAAACCAUACACAAUUUGAAAAGGGCACAUCUUAGUAGUAGAAUGCAAUGAACGAUUAUAAGCAAACUCAAUAUGAGGCAAGCAUUCUUCCCACAUUUUCUUAUUAUUCUUCAAAACAGCCCUAAGCAUAGUAGACAAUGUUCUAUUGACUACUUCAGUUUGUCCAUCAGUUUGGGGGUGACAAGUAGUACUAAAAAGCAGUUUAGUCCCCAACUUUGCCCAUAAACAUCUCCAAAAGUGGCUAAGAAAUUUAGUAUCACGAUCGGAAACAAUAGUAUUUGGCACACCAUGCAAGCGAAUAAUUUCACGAAAGAACAAAUCAGCAACAUUAACAGCAUCAUCGCUUUUAUGACAUGGUAUAAAGUGUGCCAUUUUCGAGAAUCUAUCCACGACAACAAAUAUGCUAUCCCUCCCCUUCUUUGUUCGAGGUAAACCUAAAACAAAGUCCAUAGAUAUAUCCUCCCAAGGAACACUAGGUACAGGCAAAGGCAUAUAUAAACCAUGAGGAUUGAGUCGUGACUUAGCUUUUUGACAUGUAGUGCAACGAGCAACAAAACGCUCAACAUCCCGUCUCAUCUUUGGCCAAAAGAAAUGUGUAGCAAGUACGUCCUCCGUCUUCUUCACGCCAAAGUGUCCCAUUAAUCCUCCUCCAUGCGCCUCCUGCAACAACAAAAGACGAAGAGAGCUAGCUGGAAUGCAUAGCUUGUUAGCACGGAACACAAAUCCAUCAUUAACGACAAACUUGUUCCAGGUUCUUCCUUCUUUACAAUUCUUCAAUACAUCUUUAAAAUCAGCAUCAUGCACAUAUUGAUCUUUGAUGGUCUCCAAACCAAAUAUUUUGAAGUCAAGUUGUGAAAGCAUAGUAUAGCGACGAGACAAUGCAUCAGCAAUAACAUUUUCUUUACCCUUCUUGUGUUUAAUGACAUAAGGGAAAGUUUCAAUGAAUUCAACCCAUUUAGCAUGUCUACGAUUCAGUUUAGCUUGACUUUUAAUAUGUUUCAAAGAUUCAUGAUCAGAAUGUAUAACAAAUUCUUUGGGCCAUAAAUAAUGUUGCCAUGUUUCUAAAGUCCGAACAAGAGCAUAUAGUUCUUUAUCAUAACUAGAAUAAUUCAGACUAGGCCCACUCAAUUUUUCAGAAAAGUAUGCAACAGGUUUGCCAUCUUGUAAUAACACACCUCCUAAUCCAAUGCCACUAGCAUCACAUUCAAGCUCAAAAGUCUUAUUAAAAUCAGGAAGUUGGAGUAAAGGAGCAUGUGUCAACUUAUCUUUCAAUACCGUGAAGGCUUCUUCCUGUGCGGUACCCCAAACAAAAGGCACAUCCUUCUUUGUAAGCUCGUUGAGAGGUGCAGCAAUGGUGCUAAAAUCUCUCACAAAACGCCUAUAGAAACCAGCGAGUCCAAGAAAACUCCGCACUUGUGUGACCGUUUUGGGCUGCGGCCAACUCUCAAUAGCUUCAAUCUUGGCUAUAUCAACUUCAAUUCCCUGUGGAGUAACAACAUAGCCAAGAAAAGAUACUCGGUCGGUGCAAAAGGUGCACUUCCCAAGGUUACCAAACAAACGUGCAUCACGUAGAGCAAUAAAAACAGCACGUAAAUGUUCCAAAUGUUCUUCCAAAGAUUUGCUAUAAAUCAGUAUAUCAUCAAAAUAGACUACCACAAAUCAUCCAAUGAAAGCACGUAAAACUUCGUUCAUUAGUCUCAUGAAAGUACUAGGUGCAUUAGUUAACCCAAAAGGCAUGACUAACCACUCAUAUAAACCAAACUUAGUUUUAAAUGCAGUUUUCCAUUCAUCUCCCAAUUUCAUACGAAUUUGAUGGUAUCCACUAUGCAAAUCAACUUUGGAGAAUAUUGUAGAGCCACUCAAUUCAUCAAGCAUAUCAUCUAGCCUAGGAAUAGGAUGACGAUAACGAAUAGUAAUAUUAUUAAUGCCUCUACAAUCAACACACAUACGCGACGUACCAUCCUUUUUAGGCACUAGUAUAAUAGGAACAGCACAAGGACUAAGAGAUUCGCGUAUAUAACCUUUGUCGAGCAGCUCCUCUACUUGACGCAUAAUCUCCUUCGUCUCCUCUGGAUUGGUACGGUAUGGUGCACGGUUGGGUAGCGAUGCACCGGGAAUUAAGUCAAUUUGAUGCUCAAUCCCUCGAAUAGGUGGUAAUCCCGGUGGCACGUCUUGUGGGAAGACGUCAGCGAACUCCUGCAAAAUGUUAGUGACAGCAGGGGGCAAAGAGGAAGGCACGUCCUCGAAUGAAAAUAAGGCCUCUUUGCACACAAAAGCAUAGCAAACAGAUUUGCUGAAAUCUAGCUCAUCAAUAUCAGAUUUUGUGGCAAGUAAACAUGCACUUUCCAAUUUAAUUUCAGAAACAACACUAGAUGGUUUAUUAUUAGGUUUCAUUUGUUGCUCAAAUUCCUUUGCCACAAUCUGAUUUUCACUCUUAUUUUUCUCCUGUUUUGCUUUAUUAGCUCUAUUAAUGUCAUCUUUCAAAAUGGAAUCAGGAGUCAUAGGAAGCAAAGUAAUAUUUUUAUCCUUAUGAACAAGAGUAUACUGAUUGUUUCUACCAUGGUGUACAGAAUUUUUAUCAAAUUGCCAUGGUCUACCUAGUAAUAAGGAACAUGCUUGCAUGGGUACCACAUCACAAUCAACAUAAUCAGCAUAUGUAGAGAUACUAAAAUGCACACGAACAGUACGUGUUACCUUAACCUUGCCGCUAUUGUUGAACCAUUGGAUGUAGUAAGGAUGUGGAUGUGAUCUUGUGGUGAGAGAUAGCUUCUCCACCAUCUCCAUGCUAGCCAAGUUGUUACAGCUCCCUCCAUCUAUGAUGACGCGAACAGAACGUUCCUUCACAACUCCCUUUGUAUGGAACAAAUUAUGCCUCUGAUUUUGCUCUGCUUGUGUGACCUGCACACUCAAAACACGUUGAGCAACUAAACAUUCAUACCUGUCAGCGUCUUCAGGAGCCAUGUAUUGCGUCUCAUUUUCAGAAUCAUCUCCACCAUGUUCUUCACGGGUAAUAAGAGCCAAAGUCUCCUCAUCAUAGUCACUAGCGGACUCAUACCCACCAUCCUCAGUAGCAAUCAUUACACGCUGAGAUUUGCAUUCUCUCGCAAAAUGUCCUCUUCCCUUACAACGACGACAAAUAAUAUCACUUGUGUGCCCUGUCGAUGCCAUGGAAAAAGAAGAGCUCUGCGCAGGCCCGGCAGGUGUGCUCUUGCCAGAGAGUGGUGGUUGUGCCUGCUUUCUUGUAUCACGGCUGGAGGUGACACCUGAUGGAGGUGAUGGUGAAGUGGAAGUAGAAGAUGCACGCGGUGUCCAUGAUGAAGGUCGACCUGCAGAAAAGUUAGUUUGCGCCAAUGGCUGUCGAUCCUGCACUUCACGUUCAGCUUUACAAGCAAGAUGGAAUAAACGAGUGAUAUUAUUAUAAUCCUUAUACUCUAGAAUGGUCUGAAUCUCUUUAUUUAAUCCACCCAUAAAACGUGCAAGCAUAGCUUCAUUCUCCUCAACAAUACCACAUCUAAUCAUGCCCGUUUGUAAUUCCUGAUAAUAUUCUUCUACAGAAUUUUUCCCUUGUCUUAAACGCUGCAAUUUUUGAAGUAAUUCACGUUGAUAAUAUGGUGGAACCCAACGAGUACGCAUAGCAGUUUUCAAAGCAGCCCAAGUAGCUGGAACAGGAUAUAAUCUACAAUGUUCAGACCACCAAACACAUGCAAAGCUAGUGAAAGCACAAACAGCAGCAGGAACACGUCUGUCCUCAGGAUAUUGUAAACAUGUAAAUCAUUGUUCAGUUUCUAACUCCCAAGUAAGAUAUAUAUCAGGAACAUAUCUACCCUCAAAUGGUGGAAUAUUCAAUUUCAGUUUAGGGAGAUGGUCAUGAUCUCGUACCUGAGGUGGUGGUGCCGGCCUACCGUUGCGAAUAUAUACCUGAGGUCGACCUGCUAGUGGUGGUGCUGGUGGCUGCACGUAGUUCUGAUUUUGAUCAACCUCAUCCUCAUAAUCGCCCGCAUAAUCGUCAUCCUCCUCAGCCGCCGCAGGAGCAGGAGCCAAAGAAGCAUCAACAGUAGGUGCAGCAGCACCCGAAUUUUGACCAGUCUCAAUUGGAACGCGCUGUGCCCGUCCCACUUGAUUUGGAAGGCGGCGUUGGAGAUGUGGUUGUUGUUGUUGUAGAGGUGCGACAUGUGCAGCCGGUGGUGGUUGGGGAAGACGCUUGAGUAAUUCAGUAAACUUGUUAUCCAGCUUUGUCUCGAACGACUUCUCCACGGCAUCUAUCUUCUCCAUAGCCUCUUCAAAUCUGUUUAGCACAUCUCCCACCUGGCCACUCAUCAUUUGCUGAAAUUUAUCAUGCAACGCCUUGUUCGUCAUGUUCUCCCAAUCAGUCUCAUCGACUUGUGAACCUGCCAUGGUUAGCAGCAAUAGAAACACAAAAGAAUAUGAUCCUGCAGACUACUAGAAGUGGUGGUGAUGGUGGUGUGUCACAAAACCUUCAAGCGAAUCUCAAAUUCUUACCAGUUCUUACCCAGCAGCAGGUGGUGAUCGGCAACCGUUGUAGUCAAAAACUCUCAAAGCUUGGAUAUAGCGAUUACCAGGGAGAGUCAAACGCACGAUGUAGACUUAUGUGGAGCUGGGAAGGCUUAUAAUAUGGUAGCAAAAUGGUAAGCAAUAAUCAAUUCAGAGAUGCAAAGUUGAAUAAACGCUCAACGACGGUACUGUGCUGGUCCUAGGCUAGACCGUGCUAGAGACGCGAGCCUAGAACACUAACAAAAUCACGGCGCUGCACGUAAACAAGGGAAAAGCACACUCUGGAAAUUUUUUUUUCGCUCUUUUUUUUUGCGCUCUCUUUUUUUUGCGCUCCUCUUUUUUUUUGCGAAAAAUCUCUAUAAUGGCGUGUGUCUCAAAACUCUUCCCAGGUCAAACUGACAGGACGGGCACAAAAUUUUUUGACUAUUUUUUUUCGGAAAUCAGGGCAACGACGACGAAAAAGUGCGACAAAAAAUCACUAUGAUGGCGAGUGUCUCAAAACACUACCCGGGGCCUAAAAAUAGGAUAGGGAAAAAAUAUUUUUGGUUGCCGAAAUUUUGGCCUAAAAACUGCCCGGGGGUCUCCAGACUCCUUUUUUUUUAAUAUAUGGAUCUCUAAAACCAACCGAAUAUGAAAAGAACUCGGAUUGGUGGUGGAUAUAUGGCGGUAGGAUAUGGCAGCGGUGGUGGUAUAUGGUACGGAUCGGUGGUAUAUGGAUACGGAUUGGUGGUGGUAUAUAGAUACGGAUUCAGAGCGGUGGCGGAUAAGCAAUGGUGGUAGAUGGCAAGGCGAUGAUGAUGGUGCGGCGGCGGCGUGACAACUUAUGACCAGAACUCGAAACUCUAAAAGACUAGACUCUAAGACCAGCAACUUGACACGACGAUGCAACCGCAAAUUCAACAAAGCAAAAACCCUAAAAAGAUUAUGCAAAGGCUCAGAUUGGUUCGGAUAUGAUGAACUAACCCUAAUUUUUUUUGUGGCUUUUUCGUGGACUGUAGGUAUGAAGAACAGACUCGAUCUAAACUACGAAAAACUGUAAAAUCUCACCGAGCAACCUGGAAAUCUGAUACCACUUGAUAGAGGCAAAGGUGUCCCGUCUUUCGAUGAGAUGAUGAAUAUCGCUUUGAUGGAAGUCGACUUUGACGAUCC
rnacentral:lncRNA from 1 species